GGGGCCAUAGCUCAGCUGGGAGAGCGCCUGCCUUGCACGCAGGAGGUCGACGGUUCGAUCCCGUCUGGCUCCACCA
rnacentral:tRNA from 1 species